rnacentral:rRNA from 1 species
GCGGAAUGCUUUACACAUGCAAGUCGAACGGUAGAGGGGGCACCCCUCGAGAGUGGCGAACGGGUGAGUAAUAUAUCGGAACGUGCCCAGUCGUGGGGGAUAACGUAGCGAAAGUUACGCCAAUACCGCAUACGAUCUAAGGAGGAAAGUGGGGGAUCGCAAGACCUCAUGCUAUAAGAGUGGCCGAUAUCUGAUUAGCUAGUUGGUGAGGUAAAGACUCACCAAGGCGACGAUCGGUAGCUGGUCUGAGAGGAUGAUCAGCCUCACUGGGACUGAGACACGGCCCAGACUCCUACGGGAGGCAGCAGUGGGGAAUAUUGGACAAUGGGCGCAAGCCUGAUCCAGCCAUGCCGCGUGGGUGAUGAAGGCCUUAGGGUUGUAAAGCCCUUUCGGCGGGGAAGAUAAUGACGGUACCCGCAGAAGAAGCCCCGGCUAACUUCGUGCCAGCCGCCGCCGUAAUAC